CGGGACAUUUGGAAUAUUUGGAAGAUGCCUUAAUGUGUCCUGACCUCCCAACUGUCUACCACACUUAUGCCAGUGACUACAGCAGCAUUGAUGACAGUGAAGGUGAUCAUUCUAAUGAUGGCUACAAGAACCACGGCAGCAGCAGUGAUCAAAGUGACAAUCAUUGCCAUGAUGCUGACGGCAGUGAUGUCUGCAACAAUGACAAUGUCAUCCUUCAGAAACAAGAAAUGGACCCUGGUGACUUGCACCUUCACAUCCUCCAGAGUAAGGUAGAAUACAACUACACAAAGGUGGUUGAAGGAAAUGGAAAAUCUGUAGAAAGGAAAGAGGAGCAGGAAGAAGAGCACAAAGAGUCCAAAGCAAGAAGUCGAUGGAAAGAUCGGGAAGAUUCACCCUCAGGCUUCACUUUGGUUGAUGGCAUCUCCAUGUCUACUUUAAGAGACCCAGAAAUAGGUGCUACAAAUGAACAGAGUUUUAAUGAAGACAUCUUUGACGUUCAUGAUAAUCUUCUCUUAAUUCCCAGUCCGGCUCUUGUUGAAAGAGUGAAACCUGAGCCCUGUGCCAGAUGCUGUCCAUGUUUUUGCUUUCCUUGCUUUCCCUGUUUUCAUAGAGUUUGGAAAUGGCUGGUGACAAUUUUCAAUGUGAGCAAGAAAGCGCAGGUAGCCAAUGGGCACUCAGAUUCUAGAGCCCGCCAGUGAUUUGCAAUGAUGCUAUCAAGGAGUUGAUGGUGACAACUAUUUGCACAUUGAUUUCUGGGGUUUUCCUUGAAUUCUCUUCCCCUUUUUAUUUUCUUUUUCCCAAGUGGCUAGCUGGGAAGAAGCCAGGUCUUGACACUAGGGAAGCCAGCUUCUCCCUUUUUGAGGUCACUUUUAAGAGGACUAUAACUACAUGUUCAGACCCACCUCCAAACAAUAAUAGUAAAUGUAACAAUUACACAGAAAAACUCAUUCUCAAUGAAUGCCAAUUUGAAGAUACAGGAGGUUACUAAGUUUUGCUGACAUUUCCCUUUCAUCCUUUUUGUAACAAGUCAUUUUUAAUUUGAAAUGCUUGUCUGGGAGGGGAUGCUGGAAGAAUUCUGGUGACGGAGAAAAACAUUUCAAUAAAAUCUAUUUUUGCACACUAUCUUUGUAUGUGGUUACUGCUUCAGUGUUUUCUAUGUGUUUCUGACAGUAUUCGAAAUAGGUAUG
rnacentral:lncRNA from 1 species